rnacentral:rRNA from 1 species
AGAAUUUGAUCUUGGUUCAGAUUGAAUGCUGGCGGCGUGGAUAAGGCAUGCAAGUCGAACGGACAGUGUUUACACUGUUAGUGGCGAAAGGGUUAGUAACGCGUGAGUGAUUUACCGAUAACACUGGAAUAACACCUGGAAACGGGUGCUAAUACCGGAUGUGGUGCUUGGAAUAAAGGCCAAGUAUUAAAGAUAGUUUAUACCUUCGGUUAUCGAUAAGCUCGCGUCCUAUUAGCUAGUUGGUAGGGUAAUGGCCUACCAAGGCAACGAUGGGUAGGUGAACUGAGAGGUUGUUCACCAACAUUGGCACUGAGACAAGGGCCAGACACCUACGGGUGGCAGCAGCCGAGAAUCAUUCGCAAUGGGCGCAAGCCUGACGAUGCGACGCCGCGUGAACGAAGAAGGUCUUCGGAUUGUAAAGUUCUUUUAUGUGGGAACAAAUUGCAUGUAUUAAUAGUGCAUGCACUGAGCUAACCACUUGAAUAAGCACCGGCUAACUACGUGCCAGCAGCUGCGGUAAUACGUAGGGUGCAAGCAUUAAUCGGAUUUACUGGGCGUAAAGAGCGCGUAGGCGGUCUAAUCAGUCAGUUGUUAAAGCCUAGGGCUCACCCCUAGGAUGCAACUGAAACAGUUAGACUUGAGGGUAUACGGGGAAAACGGAAUUCCAUGAGUAGCGGUGAAAUGCGUAGAUACAUGGAAGAACACCGGUGGCGAAAGCGGUUUUCUAGUAUACUCCUGACGCUGAGGCGCGAGAGCAUGGGUAGCAAACAGGAUUAGAUACCCUGGUAGUCCAUGCUGUAAACGAUGUACACUAGGUGUUGUUAUGCUCAACCGUAACAGUGCCGUAGCUAACGCGUUAAGUGUACCGCCUGAAUAGUACGCCCGCAAGGGUGAAACUCAAAAGAAUUGACGGGGACCCGCACAAUCAGUGGAGCAUGGGGUUUAAUUCGAUGAUACGCGAAGAACCUUACCCACUCUUGACAUGUCCAUCGCGACUUUGUGAGAACAAAGUCUUCGGUUCGGCCGGAUGGAACACAGGUGCUGCAUGGCUGUCGUCAGCUCGUGCCGUGAGGU